rnacentral:rRNA from 1 species
UACGGAGGGAGCUAGCGUUGUUCGGAAUUACUGGGCGUAAAGCGUACGUAGGCGGUUACUCAAGUCAGAGGUGAAAGCCCGGGGCUCAACUUCAGAACUGCCUUCGAUACUGGGGACCUUGAGUUCGGGAGAGGUGAGUGGAACUGCGAGUGUAGAGGUGAAAUUCGUAGAUAUUCGCAAGAACACCAGUGGCGAAGGCGGCUCACUGGCCCGAUACUGACGCUGAGGUGCGAAAGCGUGGGGAGCAAACAGG